rnacentral:rRNA from 1 species
GAUGAACGCUGGCGGCGUGCCUAAUACAUGCAAGUCGAGCGAAUGGAUUGAGAGCUUGCUCUCAAGAAGUUAGCGGCGGACGGGUGAGUAACACGUGGGUAACCUGCCCAUAAGACUGGGAUAACUCCGGGAAACCGGGGCUAAUACCGGAUAAUAUUUUGAACUGCAUGGUUCGAAAUUGAAAGGCGGCUUCGGCUGUCACUUAUGGAUGGACCCGCGUCGCAUUAGCUAGUUGGUGAGGUAACGGCUCACCAAGGCAACGAUGCGUAGCCGACCUGAGAGGGUGAUCGGCCACACUGGGACUGAGACACGGCCCAGACUCCUACGGGAGGCAGCAGUAGGGAAUCUUCCGCAAUGGACGAAAGUCUGACGGAGCAACGCCGCGUGAGUGAUGAAGGCUUUCGGGUCGUAAAACUCUGUUGUUAGGGGAGAACAAGUGCUAGUUGAAUAAGUUGGCACCUUGACGGUACCUAACCAGAAAGCCACGGCUAACUACAUGCCAGCAGCCGCAGUAAAAC